UCUCCAGACUCCUACGGGAGGCAGCAGUGGGGAAUAUUGGGCAACGGGCGCAAGCCUGACCCAGCAACGCCGCGUGAAGGAAGAAGGCUUUCGGGUUGUAAACUUCUUUUCUCAGGGACGAAUAGAUGACGGUACCUGAGGAAUAAGCCACGGCUAACUACGUGCCAGCAGCCGCGGUAAUACGUAGGUGGCAAGCGUUAUCCGGAUUUACUGGGUGUAAAGGGCGUGUAGGCGGGGACGCAAGUCAGAUGUGAAAACCACGGGCUCAACCUGUGGCCUGCAUUUGAAACUGUGUUUCUUGAGUACUGGAGAGGCAGACGGAAUUCCUAGUGUAGCGGUGAAAUGCGUAGAUAUUAGGAGGAACACCAGUGGCGAAGGCGGCCUGCUGGGCUUUAACUGACGCUGAGGCUCGAAAGCGUGGGUAGCAAACAGGAUUAGAUACCCUUGUA
rnacentral:rRNA from 1 species